GACGAACGCUGGCGGCGUGCUUAACACAUGCAAGUCGAACGGAAAGGCCCUGCUUGCAGGGUACUCGAGUGGCGAACGGGUGAGUAACACGUGGGUGAUCUGCCCUGCACUUCGGGAUAAGCCUGGGAAACUGGGUCUAAUACCGGAUAGGAGCCAUUUUUAGUGUGAUGGUUGGAAAGUUUUUUCGGUGUAGGAUGAGCUCGCGGCCUAUCAGCUUGUUGGUGGGGUAAUGGCCUACCAAGGCGGCGACGGGUAGCCGGCCUGAGAGGGUGGACGGCCAAAUUGGGACUGAGAUACGGCCCAGACUCCUACGGGAGGCAGCAGGGGGGAAUAUUGCACAAUGGGCGCAAGCCUGAUGCAGCGACGCCGCGUGGGGGAUGACGGCCUUCGGGUUGGAAACUCCUUUCGCUAGGGACGAAGCUUUUUGUGACGGUACCUAGAUAAGAAGCACCGGCUAACUACGUG
rnacentral:rRNA from 1 species